GAUGAACGCUGGCGGCGUGCCUAAUACAUGCCAGUCGAGCGAACAGACGAGGAGCUUACUCCUCUGACGUUAGCGGCGGACGGGUGAGUAACACGUGGAUAACCUACCUAUAAGACUGGGAUAACUUCGGGAAACCGGAGCUAAUACCGGAUAACAUGUUGAACCGCAUGGUUCAACAGUGAAAGACGGUCUUGCUGUCACUUAUAGAUGGAUCCGCGUCGCAUUAGCUAGUUGGCAAGGUAACGGCUUACCAAGGCAACGAUGCGUAGCCGACCUGAGAGGGUGAUCGGCCACACUGGAACUGAGACACGGUCCAGACUCCUACGGGAGGCAGCAGUAGGGAAUCUUCCGCAAGGGGCGAAAGCCUGACGGAGCAACGCCGCGUGAGUGAAGAAGGUCUUCGGAUCGUAAAACUCUGUUAUUAGGGAAGAACAAAUGUGUAAGUAACUAUGCACGUCUUGACGGUACCUAAUCAGAAAGCCACGGCUAACUACGUG
rnacentral:rRNA from 1 species